GGACGAACGCUGGCGGCGUGCCUAAUACAUGCAAGUCGAGCGGACCAAAGGGAGCUUGCUCCUGGAGGUUAGCGGCGAACGGGUGAGUAACACGUGGGCAACCUGCCUGUAAGACUGGGAUAACAUCGAGAAAUCGGUGCUAAUACCGGAUAAUAAAAAGAACUGCAUGGUUCUUUUUUGAAAGAUGGUUUCGGCUAUCACUUACAGAUGGGCCCGCGGCGCAUUAGCUAGUUGGUGAGGUAACGGCUCACCAAGGCAACGAUGCGUAGCCGACCUGAGAGGGUGAUCGGCCACACUGGGACUGAGACACGGCCCAGACUCCUACGGGAGGCAGCAGUAGGGAAUCUUCCGCAAUGGACGAAAGUCUGACGGAGCAACGCCGCGUGAGUGAUGAAGGUUUUCGGAUCGUAAAACUCUGUUGUUAGGGAAGAACAAGUGCCGUUCGAAAGGGCGGCACCUUGACGGUACCUAACGAGAAAGCCACGGCUAACUACGUGCCAGCAGCCGCGG
rnacentral:rRNA from 1 species